GUGGGUAUAGUCAAGUGGUCUAAGACACAGGAUUGUGGCUCCUGCAUUCAUGGGUUCAAAUCCCAUUACCCACCCCA
rnacentral:tRNA from 1 species